GAUAUAACCAAAGCCCGACUGU
rnacentral:miRNA from 1 species